CAGGCUCUCCGUCCGAGGGAGACUUACCAGAGGGAUCCUCUCUGCUCUUGUUUGGGAAACAAACAAACUUCUUUGGCAAUGUUACAUUGUUUUAGGCAGCAGUGUUGAGAAUGCGACGUCAGGGGUCACGCGGGCAUGGAGUAAUGUCCUGGCGAAAGUGGGAUCCCCACGUCCUCUGCCCAUCACCAUGCAACUGUGCACCAAGAAAUUCCUUGCCAGAUGUGGCCCCGUCGCGACCUUGAACUUCCCAGGUUCCCGAAACGGCGCAUGGGAAGCAGGCACCGGAAGAGGAGGUGCAAAGACAGGAAACACUCACUUCCCUAUAGCAAGAGACUAAUUGGAAGGUUCUCAGAAGGAUGGCUGGAAUAUCUCAAAGGUAUUGAAAGAGGCAUGAACUAAUUUAACUUAUUUGGUACAUUAAAAUGUAUGGGAAGCAUUGCAAAUGAGUGAUGCUAGAGUUUCUUUAGGUCAUAUUUAUUAUGAUACUGGAGAUCGGGAGAUCGAACUCAGGACCUUGUGCCUACAAGGCAGGCAUGGGAUCAGUGAGCUACAUCCCCGGCGUGGGUCAUAUUUAUUAUUGAUGAGUUCUUUUUAGAAAUAACAUGAAAUUCCUAGAAAUCUGAUAUAUGCUGGUAUGUUGGCAAUCAUAAAGCUAAUUACAAUAUUAAAAUGCUGUGUGUCGGGGCCGGGGAUUUAGCUCAGUGGUUCCGGC